GCGCGGGCAAGGUUUCCAAGAGGCGACCUUAAUCUGAAAUUCACAUCAUUGGAGUAGCAUUGGGCCUUCAUUGCUCUCCCCCAAACAAACAUUUACUCAGCAGAUUGCCAAGCAAAGAUACUGGAGACACAGGGCUGCUAGCUCGGUGUCAACAAAACUGUUUGCAGGUCAGUGUCUCUCAAGUCAUUCGUAUGAUCCAUGGCCAGGGUCGAAAUGGGAGUUUUCACAGACCCACUUUGCCAGUUCGUAUAUAGGACCAGGAUGGAUAGAGAUGCCAAAGAACUGAGUCAGAAAGGUAAUUUUAUCCAAUGAAUUCUACCUCAUUUGUGUAUCUUUUUUUUUUUCAUUUGUGUAUCUUAACAGCACAAACUUAUCCUUGAUAUUGUUAGCCCAUCCCUUUUUGCACUCUAUUUUUGAGUGUCUCCUUGUACUUUAUAUGUAGCAGAAUUUGAAAAAUCUUGUGAUUUACCCUAACGAAGGAAGUAUCGUAUAUACACAUAAAAGGGGGAACCCAUGGAUUCCCUUCUCAAUCCACUCUUACCAGCAAAACAAAUCAGAAACCUAAGUGGUUUCAUGGCACUGUCAAAAGAGUUUCCCUGACAGUAGUGAGCUUGAAGCCAAACAGUUGUGAAGGUUUUUCUUGGUCAUUGUUUCUUUCAUCAGCAUACAAAAGUAAAAGGACAUUUUUUUUUUUGAAGGCAGCUUCUCUGUCUGACACCCAGAAGAGGUCCCCACCUGAGGAGGAAAAGCCUCAGACUUUUCCUUCAUGUUUGCAUUGCACCUUUUAGGGAAGCAAUAGCUAAUCAAUACAAACGGAUGAGCGUGACAUGUAAGAUGUUCAGCGUUUACCUCAUUUUGUCAGUGAUAGGAAUGUAAGCAAUGUCAGCGCACAUCUACCGUUAUGUAGAUUCUACUGCUAGCUUUUGCUGAUUAGUUCAUCCUCUGCUAUGUUACAGAUAGGUUAGGGGAGAGAGAGAGAGAGAGAGAGAGAGAGAGAGAGAGAGAGAGAGAGAGAGAGAGAUUACUUUCAAAUGUGAAAUCAGGUCAACACUUUAAUCCAAACUCAAUACAUUUAGCACACAUAUCUAAAAGGUUCAGACAUACAAACUGAUUAGAAUACCCUUACCGCCUAUGGGGGAAAGUACAGUACAGAAAAGCUGUGUCUUUACAUCAGCCAACCAGAUCUUAGCAACUGCAUUUUAAUGUUUUUAGAUCACAAGAGUUGAAGGGGACUGCUGCAGAAAUCCCAGCUGAAAAUAUACCUCCUACAGUCAUGAUAUUCCUCCCUCAUUAUUCAAGUAAAACCUGGCAUCAUCCAGUUGCAAAAUCUUGUUAAUGGUAACAUGUAUACAGGUAUAAAAGUACACUGUAAGUUUAAAAAAAAAAAUUGUACCCAGUCAGGCCUGACAAA